UGCUGAUGGCGGUACACGAACUGACUC
rnacentral:piRNA from 1 species